GUCUGCCCAAUGAAUUAUUUUUAAAUGGCUGCGGUAUUUUGACUGUGCAAAGGUAGCAUAAUAAUUAGUUUUUUAAUUGAGAACUGGAAUGAAUGACUGAACGAGAAAAAUACUGUCUCAAUUUAAUUUUAAUUAAAAUUUUAUUUUUAAGUAAAAAAGCUUAAAUAUACUUAAAAGACGAGAAGACCCUAUAGAGUUUUAUAUUCAUUAAUAUAUUUAAAAGUUGAAGGAUUUUUAAUUUAGUUAUAUUAAUUAGUAUUUAGUUGGGGUGACUAAAAAAUUAAAAUAACUUUUUUUAUUAUUUAACAUUAAUUUAUGAAUAAUUGAUCCAUAUAUUAUGAUUAAAAGAUU
rnacentral:rRNA from 1 species